UACGAAGGGGGCUAGCGUUGUUCGGAUUUACUGGGCGUAAAGGGCGCGUAGGCGGGCCGAUAAGUCAGGGGUGAAAUCCCAAGGCUCAACCUUGGAACUGCCUUUGAUACUGAGAAGCUUGAGUCCGGGAGAGGUGAGUGGAACUGCGAGUGUAGAGGUGAAAUUCGUAGAUAUUCGCAAGAACACCAGUGGCGAAGGCGGCUCACUGGCCCGGUACUGACGCUGAGGUGCGAAAGCGUGGGGAGCAAACAGG
rnacentral:rRNA from 1 species